UAGGUUUACAAUAAGGGUUAGGUCUAGGUUUAGGAUAAGGGUUAGGUUUAGAAUAAGGGUUAGGGCUAGGUUUAGGAUAAGGGUUAGGUUUAGGAUAAGGGUUAAGGUUAGGUUUAGAAUAAGGGUUAGGGCUAGGUUUAGGAUAAGGGUUAAGUUCAGGGCUAGGAUAAAGGUUAGGUUUAGGUUUAGAAUAAGGGUUAGGUCUAGGUUUAGGAUUAGGGCUAGGUUUAGGAUAAGGGUUAAGUUCAGGGCUAGGAUAAAGGUUAGGUUUAGAAUAAGGGUUAGGGCUAGGUUUAGGAUAAGGGUUAAGUUCAGGGUUAGGAUAAGGGUUACUGUUAGGGUUAGUAGAUAGUUUAAAUGUUACUGAUAGUCUCUAGAGCAUAUACAGACGGAUGAUCCAAAGACCAAUUAGUGG
rnacentral:lncRNA from 1 species